rnacentral:tRNA from 1 species
GGCUCUGUAGUGUAGAGGUUAUCACUCAAGAUUCUGAUCCCAAGAUUCUUGUAACCCAGGUUCGAGUCCUGGCAGGGCCU